UGCUCUGGAAUCCAUGAAUGUGGAAAACGCCUUCACAGAAGUGCUCACACAAAUAUACCGUGUCGUGAGCAAGAAAGCUCUUGAAGCAGGAGAUGACCCAGCAGCAUUGCCCAAGGGACAGACCAUUAAUGUCGGAAGCAAGGACGACGUUUCAGCAGUAAAGAAAGUUGGGUGCUGUUCUUCUUAAAACAAGGACUGAUGUUCUAUUCCAACUUUUGAGUUGAAAUUUUCAUGUGGCAGUGGUAAUUCUCCUAUUCUGUAUAAUGAAUUCACCACAUGAAUCGUUUACUGGUGCUCAAGUUUGGAUUUGAGCUUCCCCUUGAGUUCCUCAGCAUUCUUUUAUCCUUGUUUCUAUAUUUAUCUUAGCUUAGUGUAUGAAUGUAGUAUAGCUUCUUAUGAAUCUCUUGGAUGGGGUGAAUUUUGAUUGCAAAGAUUGAA
rnacentral:misc_RNA from 1 species